AUAUAAGCAAAAUUCACUUUUUUGAUUCAUUCAUUUAAUGAUGUAUGUGGUCUAUAUUAUGAACCACAUACAUCAUUAAAUGAAUUAACCUAAAAAGUGAAUUUAGCUUAUAU
rfam:Medicago truncatula strain A17 chromosome 8, whole genome shotgun sequence.